rnacentral:rRNA from 1 species
AUUGAGCGCUGGCGGCAGGCUUAACACAUGCAAGUCGAGCGGGGUGAUGGUGCUUGCACUAUCACUUAGCGGCGGACGGGUGAGUAAUGCUUAGGAAUCUGCCUAUUAGUGGGGGACAACAUCUCGAAAGGGAUGCUAGUACCGCAUACGUCCUACGGGAGAAAGCAGGGGAUCACUUGUGACCUUGCGCUAAUAGAUGAGCCUAAGUCGGAUUAGCUAGUUGGUGGGGUAAAGGCCUACCAAGGCGACGAUCUGUAGCGGGUCUGAGAGGAUGAUGCGCCACACUGGGACUGAGACACGGCCCAGAGUCCUACGGGAGGCAGCAGUGGGGAAUAUUGGACAAUGGGGGGAACCCUGAUCCAGCCAUGCCGCGUGUGUGAAGAAGGCCUUAUGGUUGUAAAGCACUUUAAGCGAGGAGGAGGCUCUUUUGGUUAAUACCCAAGAUGAGUGGACGUUACUCGCAGAAUAAGCACCGGCUAACUCUGUGCCAGCCGCCGCAGUAA